CAAGAAAUGACAGCCUUUUAAAAAUCCUUUUCCAGACAUAUCUGGAGGAGUUUCAGUUUGCUUUUAUCUGAACACACGAUCACUACUCAAAUAAAGACAGACUGCACAACCUGGAGACCGAAAGAGGAUAAAAAGAGACAGUUUCACAGCAGCACUUGAGCGCUAAGUUAAGUGCUAAGCUAUGAGGCAAACAGCUUGCCAGAAUGGCCUGGCGUUCAUCUGUUUACUCCACUGCAUCACCAAAGACAAGCUCUUCAUCACACCUCCUCUCUAUCAGGGCAGAGACGGAGAGUGCUGCCUUCCCUUUAUUAAUCAGCUCGGUCUUUAAUCACGAGUCAAUUAGCAGCGUGGCCUAAUUGACUAUCAUCUUAAUUGCUCUAUCACGCUCCGCCCUGGAGGACCGUCUGCUGCCAGCUUAUCGCAGCUCCCCUCGAUAAGACACACGCCUAAUGAAUGCUCACACUCGUGGAAACGAAGUCGGUUCGAUUCCUCUCACGUCUUGAGCGUGUUCCCCCCGUGAGGACCAGCCUGACAUUUAUGGGAUGUAAUUGAAGACGGGUAUGAACCCCCACGCUCAGACAGAGAUGGAUAUCAGCGAGCAGCAGAUCUGUCGUCCUGCUUCAUCAGCGCGAGAAGAGGUGAAGAAGAUCGAGGCGAAGGACGAGAGUCUUGGUGCUCAAAGUGUUUAAGUUUAGCUUUGUAAACAAGUAUUGACCAACAAGCUUUGGCUGUGCAUCGGAAAUCUGUCCCUGUGAAGAGCAAACGAGGCCGUAAACAUCGGCAGAGAGACAAUCUUAAUACCCAUCAGCUAUGAUCAGACCACAACUUUACUUUUCUGAACUCUACAAAGAAAAUCAGUGAGAUUAAAAUCCAAUCAAAAGUGUUUAAUCUCAAUUUAAAUUGGUAUAACCCCAUCCCCCGAAAAGAAGAUUCUGUGGAUAUUAAAGUGCGAAAAAGGAUCAAAAUGAUGCUGAAAUAACUAAAGUAAGUUACAGAACUGGAGGGGGUGAAAAGAUUUGAUUUUUUAAGUUAUAGUGCAGCAUGAAACCAAGAUUUAAACUUCUAAAUGUUCGUCUUCUUGAUGUAAUCUCCGGAGGUCAGAACAAUCAACAGUCCUGUGCACAAAGUGAUAUUGGAAAAUUCAACUAGCGUACUAAUACAUCCCAAAAUAAAUUAUUUAAGCAGCUCGUAUCUUUAAUCUCUUUCUUCCCUUAGUUAGUGGCCAUAACAUCCUUCAGAGUGGAGCCCAGUCAUCUGUUUGUGGUAGGUCUCAGUUUCACUGUAAACAGUAAGUUCCACAGAGGCUUCACUCUGGAUU